AACCGAUUGUUUGAACUCUUUGUCCCUCGACAAAAUAGUUGUACGCCCAACAUGUUGGGUUCCCUGUGUUGAGCCAAAGCCCGCCAAAACCAAACACGUGACCAAACAAAGCGAUAAUGCGUCGUUCAAACGAACCCGGCAUGGUUUAUUCAUGUUAUUUUCAGGGUUUACAGACUUUAAUGACGUGGAAAUCUUUAUAAAUAUGCAAAACUACGAUACGACAAUUAGUAAGAAGCUCAUAGAGGUGCAGUUUUAAAAGCACAACCAAAUAUGGAGCAAGGCAAAAGCUGCCAUAAUCCAGUCGGCAAUUCCAAGUCACAAUAAACUACUGUUGGGGCUUAAAAUUGUCACGGUUUGGCAAGGCGGUACCAUUAGCAAGAAAAAAGUCAUAAUUCCUUCUUAUUAAAGAAAUUCUUACUUUAUCACACUAUCCGUUCACUUGCCCUUUGGAAAACAUCCUAAAUGUAAAUCUUUUCAUUAAAACAAAUAACCCCGCCAAGACAAUAUAUCAGUUCUGUCAAGGACAUGUUUGGCGAAGGCUAAUGCCUUGCUUCCAAAUAAGUUAAAAUAAGCUGUUCUUAGUUGCACACAGCCUCGGGCAUCGGUUGUAGAUACGGCCAAUUUAUGGCCUCGGGAGGCUAACUGGUAAAAAUAUCCAAGAAAACUUCAUUAAAUUUUAUUUCCUCUCGUUUCUUAAUAUUCGAGUAAUUCUUGAUCGGUUUUGACAAAUCCUUUUAUGUGUGUACAAAGUUUGCAGGCCGCCAACUAACCAAGUAUUCAGAGUUUUAUUAUCAUUGCGGCAUUUUCCCUUCCAAACUUUCGUCUUGUGGUAACAAAUGGGAACCUAAUCUGCCUUUUUUAGUUUAAAAGUGUUGACAGCUAGAGUUUUAUUACACACAUUUACGAAUCGUGAAUUCAAAGAACGCGAAGGUUGCUAUUUAGAUAUUAAAAAAACGUAAGACAGGGAGAAGGUCGCCAAUCACAACGCGUGCCAGCAUUUCCCUCGCUACUCAAAACGUUCGUAUGCAUUUCCUGAAUUGCUCCCGAAAAAAAACAGUACGAAAAAUAGAAUAUCUAGGAUUUUUACUUUGAGAAUCCUUCGCAGAUUUCACCCUCCAAAACUUCGAAUACUGACAGUAUAACUCGAAGGAAAACAAUUUUAAACAUUCUAGACCAACAGUCUGCCACGAGGCUAUGUGUUCAGAGCCGAUUCACGUUUGUUUGUAUGCUAAAACUGACUCUUGCUAGUCAAAGAACACUAGUUAACAGUCUAACAGGCAAAUAUUUGGCCCAUCACGUCGUACCGAGUGGCCAGUAAAGAGUCGCUCGGUAAACCCUGUAAUAUUUCGCUUGUCUUACUUAUCCUAAUUUUCUAAUAUAAAUGGAAAACAUACAAACGUAUGAGCAAACUAAACGUGUGCAUAGCUCAAGUCUUAUACAGUAGACCCAGCCUUCGCGAUUCGUGUUGGCCAUGAGCAUAGUUCGGUCGUUCAGAAGGAAGUGGGCUGUCUGAGCCAUGAAGAAGAUCAAACCGAUCUUCCAUCUAUUGGCCCCGACUAAAUUGCUUGAUGCUAUGUAAGUUCCUAGUAUCAGUUCGGUGAGCUUCGGGGUAACUAUUUUGCUCUGGCAACAGCAUCAUGUUUGGCAUUAAGAUCGGAAAUUCUUCGCUUAUCUCAAGUAUCUUGCUGACAGCGAGUCUAUUGCAACAAGGCGCGAUCGGGACCCUCUGACACUUAGGUCUGCAUUUCCUGUGCUUCGUACGUCCGUUUACUUCCUUCCUGGCUUGAAAGCCUUGCUAUUCUUAUUUUGUCCACUCUCUGACACUCUACACAUGCCUGCAUUGUAAUUCGUGAGAUUUGACUGUUUUUACAGCCGCCGUGCCCUAGUAAUGGAGUUUCCUAAGAAAAAUACUCGGAGCUUUCUUCUUGGGUGGGCUAUGACUUGUUUAACCAGCGAAGAUAGAUCUAAUGGCAUAGGUUAAUUCAACUUUCAGCACCAUACCGUAAUAACCGUAAUACCGUAAUAAUAACUCGUAUGUGUGUCGUGAAAUGGACUCACAAGUAAAGAUUUCUAUGUUAUGACUAUGUGUGUCGUGAAAUGGACUCACAAGUAAAGAUUUCCAUGUUAUGACAUUAAACUGAUGGCUACGUGAAAUGAAUCGUUGGCUUGCUUGUUGAAAGUUAUCAUGGUAUAGUAUUUCAAAGAGUGUGUCUUGGUACACUAUAUGGAGUCGUAAAAGAAGGUUAAGACAAACAAGGAGUAGUGAUAACAUCUAGAAAAACAACAACAAGUAGAAAUAAGUAAAUGGCUAGGCAAACCUAUACGAGAAACCCUGGAUUCCACUGACAAUGCUCCCUGUAGCCAAGCUGUAUUGUGGGAUUUUGCAAAUCAUCUUUUAAAAACAUUUCGGCAUGAGCCAAGAAAGUCGGAAGAUAAAGAUAAGACUUUAAGAAAUGAGAUGUUUAUCUUGAAAGGUCUAAGAAAUUGCCCCGCCAUAUUUUCCGCUAAGGUUAAAUGAGGGCUUUCCUUGAUACAUAGGGCCGCUUUAACCGUUUUAGAGUGUUUUGAUAUUAUUGCAAUGAAGCUCAAACGUCUGUAGAUAACUUUCUAAAUGAUAUUUCCGCAAACGUGAUAUGCCCCUAUCUAUUUUCGGUCCAGCAGUGAUCAUUAAACUUCUUGUUGUUAGGAGUUUUUUUUAGGAGGGAACCAUGGUUCAGUACGAGUAGAAUUUUACCUCUAGUUCUUUAUGUAGCGCAAGGAGAUGCCCUAUGGCAGUGUUUUUUUCUCUACAUCCUACAGCUUAGCCGACAAUCACACAAAUACCAGAACAGUGUUAAAUCUUUAGCUUUUGGAAGAACUAAAGAAACGAGCAUUCUCGGCUUUCCUACCCUCUUGUGACUUAGCUAAGCCUUAUGAGUCAUGUAAACGGGCCAAUGCAGACACAAAAGAGUUUUUGUCUCAGUAAUCUUCAUGGAAAGUAAAAUCGCGUACGUUUGCUCGUUGUCGGUCGCAGUUCUUUGGGAAAAAACAUGAAUAAAAUACCGCUAACGUUCUAGUUAUCGAGCGGUCGUCUUUCGGUCCCUUUGAUAUCUAGCAGUGAAACAGCGGUGAUUUGCAUGCAACAUGUUCGCAGAGACUCGACAACCAGAACUGUGAUUUAUCAUUUCCUUACCAAUUUUUACAAAUUCUAUAAAAAAAAACCCAAAUCCAAAAUUUAUGAGCCUUUUAGGGCUUUAGUUUUGCUAUAAAUGUAUACUGUGUAAACUUAGCGAUAAAGGAUUUCUAGGACACAAUAGCGAAUCGAUGCGUCUUUCCGGCACAAGAUGGUGGACUGCAAGUGCCGCGCCGGCUCGAUGUGAUAACAAGUUUAGCCCAUAAUUACUAUCGGGGAUAUCCUAUUCGGCGGCUCACUAGACAUAACAACUACAAAGUUCUAUCUUGGCCAGUAAAAUUUCUGAUUUGUAUGUGAUUUUCUCGUGUUUAUGAUCCAAGUUUGUUGUCCAAAUCCUGAUAAAUAAGUCCUGGUGUAUCUUAUGUUUCCUCCUGUUUUCCUAAGGAAAAUAGUUUAUGGUAGUUUUAGCUGGCAUCGGCCGAUCUCGUGCCUUUGAUUAGAUAUUAAGACUAGGUGAAUGGAUAAAUUUCAACUCAAGUGUGAACUUUUUGUCUUGUAAAAUUAACGAAAGAACCGCUUUUGUGUGGUUCCUUUGAAAAGCUUAUCAAGUUCCAAUAGUCGACCACAUUCUAAAGACGCGCCAAAUGCCUCUCUUCUCGCAGUUUGUGAGAAAGUAAAAUGCCCUAAGGGCUUCCUCCUUGGUUUCAAAUCUGCUUAAAUAACUCAAGAAAUUACUUUCAGUUACUUUUAAUCCACUUACAUGCUGGAAGCGCCUUCACGCGCUGGUAGAGAAUACAAAACGGACCGCAAAACAGACAAAAGAUCGAGACUCGCUCGACAGUGCGUUCCUUUUUAAAACUCUAAACCGGCAAAACUCAUCUAAUAAAACUCAAACUAAUAA